rnacentral:lncRNA from 1 species
UCCCAUUUCACCCCUUAGGGUCUAACAGAUUUGCAAAGCUAAGAUGAAAGCAUAACAUAUAUAAUUGUAAGAUUAUUACAUAGUUUCAUCAUGGUACAUUUACAUGAUCAUUUUUACAUAUUAUCAACCCUUAAUAACAUAUUAAUCAACGUUUAAUUAUCUGCCUCAAAUCCUCAAAACUCCAAUCUCUUCUCAUCCCAGAGCUCCUCACCAAUUUCGGCGAAUCGGUCAAGAACUCCAUUGGACCACUGUUAUGAAUCCUAUGAGAACCUUUUUUCGCCUUAUUUUCUUUCCCCAGAAGCGAUUGACCCCUCGUUUUCUCAAACCUAGGCUUUGGUACCAAGUUUCCUGACCAGUUUCUCUCAAUCUUCUCCGAGAAAAGGCGAAAAUUUGACUUUCCUGGACUAUUUUGAUGAACAUUAUUGAAUCUUUCCCUUAGUUCAUUUUGUGAAUCUGUCCUUUCUAGAACUUGGCAUGUCAAGCAAUUGAGAGUCAUUGUUGUAUAAAAGAAGAAGAAGAAAAGAAGAAUAAAAGGUUUAUAAGGUAAUGAAUAAUGCUUAGGAUAUGUGUUAAAUCAUAUGUACUAAAUAUUUUUUAGGAGAUUGAGUUGAGGGUAAGGGUUGGUUUUUU